rnacentral:rRNA from 1 species
CGGUUGAUCCUGCCGGAGGUCACUGCUAUUGGGAUUCGANUAAGCCAUGCGAGUCGAGAGGGUUCGGCCCUCGGCAAACUGCUCAGUAACACGUGGAUAAUCUGCCCUUNAGGUGGAGGAUAACCUUGGGAAACUGAGAAUAAUACUCCAUAGAUCUACGAUGUUGGAAUACACAUAGAUUGAAAGUUCCGACGCCUAAGGAUGAGUCUGCGGACUAUCAGGUUGUAGUCAGGGUAAGGACCUGACUAGCCUACAACGGAUACGGGUUGCGAGAGCAAUAACCCGGAGACGAUAUCUGAGACACGAUAUCGGGCCCUACGGGGCGCAGCAGGCGCGAAACCUUCACAAUGUGCGAAAGCGCGAUGAGGGGAUCCCAAGUGCUUGCACUUAAGUGUAAGCCGUUUCUUUGUUUAAAAUGCAGAGAGAGUAAGGGCUGGGUAAGACGGGUGCCAGCCGCCGCGGUAAUACCUGCAGCUCAAGUGGUGACCGCUAUUAUUGGGCCUAAAACGUCCGUAGCCUGCUGAGUAAAUGCUUGGGUAAAUCGUGCCGCUUAACGGUACGAAUUCCGGGUAGACUGCUCAGCUUGAGACCGGGAGAAGCUAGAGGUACUCCUGGGGUAGAGGUGAAAUUCUGUAAUCCUGGGGGGACCACCAGUGGCGAAGGCGUCUAGCUAGAACGGGUCUGACGGUGAGGGACGAAACCCUGGGGCGCGAACCGGAUUAGAUACCCGGGUAGUCCAGGGCGCAAACGCUGCUUGCUUGAUGUUAGCUGGGCUCCGAGCUCAGCUAGUGUCGGAGAGAAGUUGUUAAGCAAGCUGCCUGGGAAGUACGAUCGCAAGAUUGAAACUUAAAGGAAUUGGCGGGGGAGCAC